GGGUUGUGAGGUUAAGCGACUAAGCGUACACGGUGGAUGCCCUGGCAGUCAGAGGCGAUGAAGGACGUGCUAAUCUGCGAUAAGCGUCGGUAAGGUGAUAUGAACCGUUAUAACCGGCGAUUUCCGAAUGGGGAAACCCAGUGUGAUUCGUCACACUAUCAUUAACUGAAUCCAUAGGUUAAUGAGGCGAACCGGGGGAACUGAAACAUCUAAGUACCCCGAGGAAAAGAAAUCAACCGAGAUUCCCCCAGUAGCGGCGAGCGAACGGGGAGCAGCCCAGAGCCUGAAUCAGUGUGUGUGUUAGUGGAAGCGUCUGGAAAGGCGCGCGAUACAGGGUGACAGCCCCGUACACAAAAAUGCACAUGCUGUGAGCUCGAUGAGUAGGGCGGGACACGUGGUAUCCUGUCUGAAUAUGGGGGGACCAUCCUCCAAGGCUAAAUACUCCUGACUGACCGAUAGUGAACCAGUACCGUGAGGGAAAGGCGAAAAGAACCCCGGCGAGGGGAGUGAAAAAGAACCUGAAACCGUGUACGUACAAGCAGUGGGAGCACAGAGCAAUCUGUGUGACUGCGUACCUUUUGUAUAAUGGGUCAGCGACUUAUAUUCUGUAGCAAGGUUAACCGAAUAGGGGAGCCGAAGGGAAACCGAGUCUUAACUGGGCGUUAAGUUGCAGGGUAUAGACCCGAAACCCGGUGAUCUAGCCAUGGGCAGGUUGAAGGUUGGGUAACACUAACUGGAGGACCGAACCGACUAAUGUUGAAAAAUUAGCGGAUGACUUGUGGCUGGGGGUGAAAGGCCAAUCAAACCGGGAGAUAGCUGGUUCUCCCCGAAAGCUAUUUAGGUAGCGCCUCGUGAAUUCAUCUCCGGGGGUAGAGCACUGUUUCGGCAAGGGGGUCAUCCCGACUUACCAACCCGAUGCAAACUGCGAAUACCGGAGAAUGUUAUCACGGGAGACACACGGCGGGUGCUAACGUCCGUCGUGAAGAGGGAAACAACCCAGACCGCCAGCUAAGGUCCCAAAGUCAUGGUUAAGUGGGAAACGAUGUGGGAAGGCCCAGACAGCCAGGAUGUUGGCUUAGAAGCAGCCAUCAUUUAAAGAAAGCGUAAUAGCUCACUGGUCGAGUCGGCCUGCGCGGAAGAUGUAACGGGGCUAAACCAUGCACCGAAGCUGCGGCAGCGACGCUUAUGCGUUGUUGGGUAGGGGAGCGUUCUGUAAGCCUGUGAAGGUGUACUGUGAGGUAUGCUGGAGGUAUCAGAAGUGCGAAUGCUGACAUAAGUAACGAUAAAGCGGGUGAAAAGCCCGCUCGCCGGAAGACCAAGGGUUCCUGUCCAACGUUAAUCGGGGCAGGGUGAGUCGACCCCUAAGGCGAGGCCGAAAGGCGUAGUCGAUGGGAAACAGGUUAAUAUUCCUGUACUUGGUGUUACUGCGAAGGGGGGACGGAGAAGGCUAUGUUGGCCGGGCGACGGUUGUCCCGGUUUAAGCGUGUAGGCUGGUUUUCCAGGCAAAUCCGGAAAAUCAAGGCUGAGGCGUGAUGACGAGGCACUACGGUGCUGAAGCAACAAAUGCCCUGCUUCCAGGAAAAGCCUCUAAGCAUCAGGUAACAUCAAAUCGUACCCCAAACCGACACAGGUGGUCAGGUAGAGAAUACCAAGGCGCUUGAGAGAACUCGGGUGAAGGAACUAGGCAAAAUGGUGCCGUAACUUCGGGAGAAGGCACGCUGAUAUGUAGGUGAAGUCCCUCGCGGAUGGAGCUGAAAUCAGUCGAAGAUACCAGCUGGCUGCAACUGUUUAUUAAAAACACAGCACUGUGCAAACACGAAAGUGGACGUAUACGGUGUGACGCCUGCCCGGUGCCGGAAGGUUAAUUGAUGGGGUCAGCGCAAGCGAAGCUCUUGAUCGAAGCCCCGGUAAACGGCGGCCGUAACUAUAACGGUCCUAAGGUAGCGAAAUUCCUUGUCGGGUAAGUUCCGACCUGCACGAAUGGCGUAAUGAUGGCCAGGCUGUCUCCACCCGAGACUCAGUGAAAUUGAACUCGCUGUGAAGAUGCAGUGUACCCGCGGCAAGACGGAAAGACCCCGUGAACCUUUACUAUAGCUUGACACUGAACAUUGAGCCUUGAUGUGUAGGAUAGGUGGGAGGCUUUGAAGUGUGGACGCCAGUCUGCAUGGAGCCGACCUUGAAAUACCACCCUUUAAUGUUUGAUGUUCUAACGUUGACCCGUAAUCCGGGUUGCGGACAGUGUCUGGUGGGUAGUUUGACUGGGGCGGUCUCCUCCUAAAGAGUAACGGAGGAGCACGAAGGUUGGCUAAUCCUGGUCGGACAUCAGGAGGUUAGUGCAAUGGCAUAAGCCAGCUUGACUGCGAGCGUGACGGCGCGAGCAGGUGCGAAAGCAGGUCAUAGUGAUCCGGUGGUUCUGAAUGGAAGGGCCAUCGCUCAACGGAUAAAAGGUACUCCGGGGAUAACAGGCUGAUACCGCCCAAGAGUUCAUAUCGACGGCGGUGUUUGGCACCUCGAUGUCGGCUCAUCACAUCCUGGGGCUGAAGUAGGUCCCAAGGGUAUGGCUGUUCGCCAUUUAAAGUGGUACGCGAGCUGGGUUUAGAACGUCGUGAGACAGUUCGGUCCCUAUCUGCCGUGGGCGCUGGAGAACUGAGGGGGGCUGCUCCUAGUACGAGAGGACCGGAGUGGACGCAUCACUGGUGUUCGGGUUGUCAUGCCAAUGGCACUGCCCGGUAGCUAAAUGCGGAAGAGAUAAGUGCUGAAAGCAUCUAAGCACGAAACUUGCCCCGAGAUGAGUUCUCCCUGACUCCUUGAGAGUCCUGAAGGAACGUUGAAGACGACGACGUUGAUAGGCCGGGUGUGUAAGCGCAGCGAUGCGUUGAGCUAACCGGUACUAAUGAACCGUGAGGCUUAACCUUACAACGCCGAAG
rnacentral:rRNA from 1 species